rnacentral:rRNA from 1 species
UACGGAAGGCAGCAGUGGGGAAUAUUGCACAAUGGGCGAAAGCCUGAUGCAGCUAUGCCGCGUGUAUGAAGAAGGCCUUAGGGUUGUAAAGUACUUUCAUCGGGGAGGAAAAAACAAAACUAAUAAUUUUAUUUCUUGACGUUACCCGAAAAAGAAGCACCGGCUAACUCCGUGCCAGCAGCCGCGGUAAUACGGAGGGUGCUAGCGUUAAUCAGAAUUACUGGGCGUAAAGAGCACGUAGGUGGUUUUUUUAAAGUCAGAUGUGAAUCCCUGGGCUUAACCUGGAACUGCAUUUUGAAACUGAAAUACUAGAGUAUCGUAGAGGGAGGUAGAAUUCUAGGUGUAGCGGUGAAAUGCGUAGAUAUCUGGAGGAAUACCUGUGGCGAAAGCGGCCUCCUAAACGAAUACUGACACUGAGGUGCGAAAGCGUGGGGAGCGAAACAGGGAUUAGAUACC